GACGCAAAGUACAAUAUCCAAGGUGGCUUUUCCAAAACUAACCUCCCUAUCGGCAAAAUUUAUUACGUCAAGCCGGACCCGGAAUAUGUCGAGUCCACGAAACAAGGAAUAAUUCUGGUAUACACUUUGAAGAAUGACGCACUGAUUUUUGGUUCCUUGACGAAAGAGCAAGUCAAACUGGAGGCAAUUGAACAAAUCGCAGAAUUCCACCCCGAAAUCAAGGAGGAAGAUAUGAUUGAAAAAUAUUUUGUUCAUGGUUGGUCCAACCAGCCCUCUUACCGAGGUUGCGUUGCCUUUUUGAAGGCCAAUCAAUUUAACAAUGUCAGGUAGGAAUCAGAGAAAAUUGUAUGAUGUGAAAAAUGCCUUAUCUUGUGGUAUACUUAGAAAGAUGUUAUUGUAUAUCUUGUAAGAUAAGAUGAAUUCCUAAUGAGAUGAAUUGCGAAUACCAUAUGUGAGAGAUGAAGAUUUUAAUCAAUUUAUUUCUGCAAUUCAAUCUCAAGUGAUGGGAUGAAUUCCAAGCCGCACUUAACUUUUGUGCGAACUCAUUCGCCCUUCUUGUAGAUGUGCAAAGAUGAAACCGAUAUUUUGAAUUCGCCUAAAACAUUUACUAAAUACCAAAUUUUGUUUUCUCGCAGCUUAUAUUUCCAAUCAGUUUUACUGUCCCUAUAAUUUUAAACGUCUGAAAUUAUCGAUUAAUACAUUACAGUAAAAGUCAGUCAUGCGAUUUUGUUCCGUUGCCUGUUGGUAUACGAUACCUUCAUAAUGUGAAAUUUUGGUAUAAACGUCUUAUAAUUGGGAAGUACAGGAAUUUUCUGAAUGAAAUAUCUCUGCCAUCUACAUGCCAGAAAACUUAUACCGUUGGUAUUUUCUUGUUUGAUGGCGUGACUGUGCGCGCGCGCGAGAAUUGUUGUUGUUGCUUUAAUUUCCCGACGGCAGACGACAUUUCCGGCUAAAAUUGCAAUCGGUGUAACAGCUGGUGAAUUUAAAUUAAAGACAGGUAUGUAGAAACCAUCAGAAAUCGUUUGAAUUUCAGAGAUACGCGAAUGAAACGGAGCAAUGUUUAGGGAUGCACCGGAACUCGGUUCCGGCCGGUUAGUUCCGGCCGGAACCCCGAUUUUUUAGACUUCCGGUUCCGGUCGGAACUAGUAAAAAAGUCUGUUUCAGAGAGUUAGAAUAUCAAACGUUUUUGUGUCUAACAAAAGGUCAUAGUAGGAAGAAAUUUGGACUACACAAGGGAAAUGUACACUAUUAACACUUCAUUAUGACGUUUAACGCUUGUCAAUCUUUUUAUUCUAACAUUUGCGAGCUCUCUCCUUGAUGACUUGAAGUGUCUGCCUGUCUGGCAGCGGACAAAGUAACAUAUGACUAUAUAUGGCUUAAUAUAUUAGUUCCGGUUCCGGUCGGAUCCGGUUCCGGCCAGAACUUAAAAAACUGGUUCCGGUGCACCCCUAGCAAUGUUGAAGCAUUUUAAAGAGAAUUUUGCGGAAGACGUUAUAACAUCGCUUGGGCCAUUCUUAAGAACGACGAAGAUGCAACCUAUGCUUACAAGAGAGGCUGCAAAUACUAAACUGUCGCGACGGAAAUCUUCUGAACAAAAGAUCAGAAAUCUUAUCGAAGUGCGUGCACCAAAAGCAAUUUUUAGCGGGAAAUGUGGUCUGCAACAUCAACAAUUCUCUCGCCGCGCCGCACAGUAAGAUCAACGGUAUUUGAGAACAGUAAGAUAUCUCAUAAUUUCCAAAUAGCGCGCACGCAAAAAAACUUUGCGACUGGGUUUCGAACCCGUGCUUCGAAUUACUAGAUCGAUGCUCUACCAAUUAAGCUACUGUACAUGGUCAGGACACAUUGAAGACUGGCUUAUGACUGAGUAUGUACGAUCCGGACAGUCUUCGUGCUAUUUUUAAUUUCAAUCCGGACCACUCGCUCUGUCAAUAACAUAUAAUACAUGUGUAUUUUAUUCAUCUAUGUAAAUUCAGUUUUAUUUUUUCGUAACUUAGAACUUUGUGGGAACCCAUGGGUAACGUACAUUUUGCUGGAGACGCUUUGUCAUUUUCCGCUGGUUGGAUUCAAGGUGCCUUGGAGAGUGGCCUCAAAGCCUCAUAUCAAGUUUAUGCCCGUGGCAAGAAGAGAACAACCAGAAAAUAUUAAUAAUUGACACUAAGUCAAUAAUUUCAAUCCUGCACGAUGUGUCUACUUUAGGGUGGCUCCCUACAGUUGACUAGAAGUGAAAACACGAUUAUAAAAUUGAAACACUCGCUUCCUGCGGAAUCUCCGUGGAUCGGUAAAAAAAUUGAAAAAAGCAGAAUCAAACUUUAUGACAAGGAAGUUUUUCAGUCUAAUUGUAAAUUUUUGAAAUUCAAACUAUACGUAUGUUGUUGCUUGUGAUGUUACUCUGAGUGUAUAUCCACACCGGGC
rnacentral:lncRNA from 1 species